AGCGAACGCUGGCGGCAGGCCUAACACAUGCAAGUCGAGCGGGCGUAGCAAUACGUCAGCGGCAGACGGGAGAGUAACACGUGGGAACGUGCCCUUUGGUUCGGAAUAACUCAGGGAAACUUGAGCUAAUACCGGAUAAGCCCUUCGGGGGAAAGAUUUAUUGCCAUUGGAGCGGCCCGCGUCGGAUUAGCUAGUUGGUGAGGUAAUGGCUCACCAAGGCGACGAUCCGUAGCUGGUCUGAGAGGAUGACCAGCCUCACUGGGACUGAGACACGGCCCAGACUCCUACGGGAGGCAGCAGUGGGGAAUAUUGGACAAUGGGCGCAAGCCUGAUCCAGCCAUGCCGCGUGGAUGAUGAAGGCCCUAGGGUUGUAAAGUCCUUUUAACGGGGAAGAUAAUGACGGUACCCGUAGAAUAAGCCCCGGCUAACUUCGUGCCAGCCGCCGCCGUAA
rnacentral:rRNA from 1 species